GUUGGUGGUGCUGUAUCGGGCUUUUUGGUACUUUCUUUCUUAUUUUUCUUUAUUUUCCGGGGAAGACAAAAAGUGAAGGGCUCGGGUUCUACUGAUGCAGCUUCCUUGUGGGGUCGAUUUUCGGUAUCUUCGACCAAGUUUGCACAGACCCAAGGCGCAGCUCUACCUUCUGAUCUUUGCCGCCGCUUUUCACUAGCUGAGAUCAAAGAGGCCACCAACAACUUUGACAGUGUAUUGAUUAUUGGUGUCGGAGGAUUUGGUAAUGUGUACAA
rnacentral:misc_RNA from 1 species